UUGAACACUUUCGACCGCAGUCUAGGCUGUCCAGAUUCCAGACUUUCAGAGUCGCUUACCCAAGUCUCAGGGUUUCAGAGCUUGUGAAUAGAAGGUCAGAAGGGGAAGAUCACGCUCAGGAUGAACGUCCUACCGACCAUCAGCGUGUAUUACCUGAUCUAUUCACUACAUGUUCACAAGUACAUCAAAAUGCCCAAGCUGAGGUGCUCGGCGGGUGAUAACUUGACUGAUGAUGUCGCCACAGCAUCGUUUGUGUCAAGAGCUCAACUGGUUGGCUACUGCGCUAAAAAGAUGUGCGGAGAACGCGAGUUCACCUUCUUGACGCCCUCUUCUCUAUAGAGGAGGCGCCGGGCCGACAUGCGGACAACGUGUUCCAGAUUGAGAGAUACACUAAACCUGGCAAAGCAUGCAGGGGAAUCCCUCCAGUUUCCGAUGGCAGGUGUGCAACAACACCGGGUACUUCCUCUUCACCAGCUUCCAAGUGUGCCGACUCAACACAGCGACGAGUACAUUCUACUUUGAAACCGUCAUUCCGAAUCGUACGCUUGAAUAACGGACGCGUGCAACUAAUAGAUCCAGAAACUGGAAAUGUGUUGGUAGCGUCGGUGAAUGGCACAGUCCAACUCGUCCCCAGUUCUGCUAUUCUAUCAAUCCACUCUCUACUAUUGGCUUCCGAGUUUCGUGUAUUUCCAACUACUCUUGGCGAUCUACGAAGGAAGCUCUGCUAUACGAAGAGGAGCCGGAGAUUCUGAAGCGCAACGUUACAAUCACCCCCACCAACCAACACUUUCCCACACGCUCCUACCACGCCGUUACUGCAAACACUGGCUCGAGAUCAGUAGUCAUGAUUGUACAUGCAUCUGCAUUCCAAACCCCCUGGGCAUACACGUACACGCACAUGUAUGCCUCAGUUGGAUACGGAAGUAGGCUGUGUCGUUUGACAUUGAAAUGUGCAGUGAUCUGUCUCUCACUUCAAAACUCAUCUUUUUUAGUGCAACGCAAGUUACGCAAUACAUUGAGUACUAAUACCAGUACUGUAGUAAUUUUUAAAAGUAUUAUCUCUACAUGUACGUCAUGUAUACCACAACAAUAUCGCGAUACCAGUGUUAUGGUGAUUAUUGAACUUUAAUUAGUACAGUGUUUUUUGUUUUGUUUUGUUAUUGUUUUUUCUCCUUUUGAAUUGAGUUUAUUGAGUUUAUUGAUUGAUUUUAUUUUUUAAUUAUAAAAAAUAAUUUGAAGUUUUUUGGUUUGGGUUUGAACUUCUUU